rnacentral:misc_RNA from 1 species
GCAAACUUGGUCAUUUAGAGGAAGUAAAAGUCGUAACAAGGUUUCCGUAGGUGAACCUGCGGAAGGAUCAUUACCGAGUGCGGGCCCUCCGGGUCCAACCUCCCACCCGUGUCUACCGUACCUUGUUGCUUCGGCGGGCCCGCCGUCCUGGCCGCCGGGGGGCAUCGCGCCCCCGGGCCCGCGCCCGCCGAAGACCCCUUUGAACGCUGUCUGAAAAUUGUCGUCUGAGUGCAUUACCGCAAUCGUAAAAACUUUCAACAACGGAUCUCUUGGUUCCGGCAUCGAUGAAGAACGCAGC